AGCAGCCGCGGUAAUUCCAGCUCCAAUAGCGUAUAUUAAAGUUGUUGCAGUUAAAAAGCUCGUAGUUGAAUUUCGGGAUUCUACCGUCGGUCGGGCUAACAAGUCUGUACUGGUGUGUAGAAUUUCUACCUUCUGGGGAACUAUCAUGUUAUUAAUUUAGCGUGGUAGGAAACCAGGACCUUUACCUUGAAAAAAUUAGAGUGUUCAAAGCAGGCUUACGUCUGAAUACAUUAGCAUGGAAUAAUAGAAUAGGACGGUGGUCCUGUUUUGUUGGUUUCUGAAUCACCGUAAUGAUUAAUAGGGAUAGUUGGGGGCAUUAGUAUUCAAUUGUCAGAGGUGAAAUUCUUGGAUUUAUUGAAGACUAACUUCUGCGAAAGCAUUUGCCAAGGAUGUUUUCAUUAAUCAAGAACGAAAGUUAGGGGAUCGAAGACGAUCAGAUACCGUCGUAGUCUUAACCAUAAACUAUGCCGACUAGGGAUCGGAUGAUGUUAAUUUUUUAAUGACUCAUUCGGCGCCUUACG
rnacentral:rRNA from 1 species